UACGUAGGGGGCUAGCGUUGUCCGGAAUCAUUGGGCGUAAAGAGCGCGUAGGCGGCCCGAUAAGUCUGCUGUGAAAGUCCAGGGCUCAACCCUGGAAUGCCGGUGGAUACUGUCGGGCUAGAGUACGGAAGAGGCGAGUGGAAUUCCUGGUGUAGCGGUGGAAUGCGCAGAUAUCAGGAGGAACACCGGUGGCGAAGGCGGUUCUCUGGGCAUGUCCUGACGCUGAGGUGCGAAAGCGUGGGGAGCAAACAGG
rnacentral:rRNA from 1 species